ACAAGAAGUCUUCUUUUGCGUUUAUAGAAGACGAGAGAAUGGUAGAAAAAAUUCAGAAAAAGGGCUCGGAUUGUAGCUAUUCUGUGCAGAAGAUGAGUCAGGUGUAAUUUUUUCUUAUUUAAUGAAUCUUAUUUUAUCUGUAUAUUUUUUUCUCUUAUGAUUGUAUCAACUUUUGCUAAGGAGACGGGUUUAUGGUAAAAAUCCGAUUUGAUGCUUCCGUUGCGGAAUCCAAACAAUCGGUACCGGAUCCACAGCAGUCGGUAUCGGAGCAGGUUGCAGAUUCAUAAGAUCCGGUACCGAGGCGAGUACCGGAUUUCCAGCAAAGAGCUGACGAAAAGAAAAAAAUGAAACCACAUGGUACUAAAUUAAUACACUUUAAACUACAGGAAACUAAAGUGAGAAAGUCCGAAACCACAGAGGUGGUAUUUGAACUUUACCCUUGAUUUUAAGGAAAAU
rnacentral:lncRNA from 1 species